AUUGAACGCUGGCGGCAUGGCUAAAACAUGCAAGUCGAGGGAGAAGUCAACUUCGGUUGGCGGACGCCGGCGAAAGGGCUAGUAAUGGUAUCGAACGUACCCCGAGGUCAAGGAUAGCUGGGGGAAACUCCAGGUAAUACUUGAUAUCCUCUACGGAGGAAAGCUCCGGCGCCUUGGGAGCGGCGAUACUCCUAUCAGGUUGUUGGUGAGGUAACGGCUCACCAAGCCUAAGACGGGUAGCGGGUGUGAGAGCAUGACCCGCAGCAUCGGAACUGAGACACUGUCCGG
rnacentral:rRNA from 1 species